ACGAACGCUGGCGGCGUGCCUAAUACAUGCAAGUAGAACGCUGAAGAGAGGAGCUUGCUCUUCUUGGAUGAGUUGCGAACGGGUGAGUAACGCGUAGGUAACCUGCCUUGUAGCGGGGGAUAACUAUUGGAAACGAUAGCUAAUACCGCAUAACAAUGGAUGACCCAUGUCAUUUAUUUGAAAGGGGCAAAUGCUCCACUACAAGAUGUACCUGCGUUGUAUUAGCUAGUAGGUGAGGUAACGGCUCACCUAGGCGACGAUACAUAGCCGACCUGAGAGGGUGAUCGGCCACACUGGGACUGAGACACGGCCCAGACUCCUACGGGAGGCAGCAGUAGGGAAUCUUCGGCAAUGGGGGCAACCCUGACCGAGCAACGCCGCGUGAGUGAAGAAGGUUUUCGGAUCGUAAAGCUCUGUUGUAAGUCAAGAACGAGUGUGAGAGUGGAAAGUUCACACUGUGACGGUAGCUUACCAGAAAGGGACGGCUAACUACGUGCCAGCAGCCGCGGUAAUACGUAGGUCCCGAGCGUUGUCCGGAUUUAUUGGGCGUAAAGCGAGCGCAGGCGGUUUGAUAAGUCUGAAGUUAAAGGCUGUGGCUCAACCAUAGUUCGCUUUGGAAACUGUCAAACUUGAGUGCAGAAGGGGAGAGUGGAAUUCCAUGUGUAGCGGUGAAAUGCGUAGAUAUAUGGAGGAACACCGGUGGCGAAAGCGGCUCUCUGGUCUGUAACUGACGCUGAGGCUCGAAAGCGUGGGGAGCGAACAGGAUUAGAUACCCUGGUAGUCCACGCCGUAAACGAUGAGUGCUAGGUGUUGGAUCCUUUCCGGGAUUCAGUGCCGCAGCUAACGCAUUAAGCACUCCGCCUGGGGAGUACGACCGCAAGGUUGAAACUCAAAGGAAUUGACGGGGGCCCGCACAAGCAGUGGAUUAUGUGGUUUAAUUCGAAGCAACGCGAAGAACCUUACCAGGUCUUGACAUCCCGAUGCUAUUUCUAGAGAUAGAAAGUUACUUCGGUACAUCGGUGACAGGUGGUGCAUGGUUGUCGUCAGCUCGUGUCGUGAGAUGUUGGGUUAAGUCCCGCAACGAGCGCAACCCCUAUUGUUAGUUGCCAUCAUUCAGUUGGGCACUCUAGCGAGACUGCCGGUAAUAAACCGGAGGAAGGUGGGGAUGACGUCAAAUCAUCAUGCCCCUUAUGACCUGGGCUACACACGUGCUACAAUGGUUGGUACAACGAGUUGCGAGUCGGUGACGGCAAGCUAAUCUCUUAAAGCCAAUCUCAGUUCGGAUUGUAGGCUGCAACUCGCCUACAUGAAGUCGGAAUCGCUAGUAAUCGCGGAUCAGCACGCCGCGGUGAAUACGUUCCCGGGCCUUGUACACACCGCCCGUCACACCACGAGAGUUUGUAACACCCGAAGUCGGUGAGGUAACCUUUUGGAGCCAGCCGCCUAAGGUGGGAUAGAUGAUUGGGGUG
rnacentral:rRNA from 1 species